AUGAACGCUGGCGGCGUGCCUAAUACAUGCAAGUCGCGCGAACGGACGAGAAGCUUGCUUCUCUGAUGUUAGCGGCGGACGGGUGAGUAACACGUGGAUAACCUACCUAUAAGACUGGGAUGACUUCGGGAAACCGGAGCUAAUACCGGAUAAUAUUUUGAACCGCAUGGUUCAAAAGUGAAAGACGGUCUUGCUGUCACUUAUAGAUGGAUCCGCGCUGCAUUAGCUAGUUGGUAAGGUAACGGCUUACCAAGGCAACGAUGCAUAGCCGACCUGAGAGGGUGAUCGGCCACACUGGAACUGAGACACGGUCCAGACUCCUACGGGAGGCAGCAGUAGGGAAUCUUCCGCAAUGGGCGAAAGCCUGACGGAGCAACGCCGCGUGAGUGAUGAAGGUCUUCGGAUCGUAAAACUCUGUUAUUAGGGAAGAACAUAUGUGUAAGUAACUGUGCACAUCUUGACGGUACCUAAUCAGAAAGCCACGGCUAACUACGUG
rnacentral:rRNA from 1 species